rnacentral:rRNA from 1 species
GUAGCGUAAUCACCUGUCUUUUAAAUAAAGACCUGUAUGAAUGGCAAGACGAGGGUUUUACUGUCUCCUCCCCCCAGUCAAUGAAAUUGAUCUACCCGUGCAGAAGCGGGUAUAAAAACAUAAGACGAGAAGACCCUAUGGAGCUUUAGGCAUAUAUCAAAUAUGUAAAAAACCAAAUUUUUCCAAAUAGGCCUAAAAAAUGAGAAAAACAAGUAUUAAUGAUUAAGUGCCUUCGGUUGGGGCGACCACGGGGAAAAAUAAAACCCCCACAUGGAAUGGGAAAAAUAACCCUAAGCCAAGAAAAACACUUCUAAGCAACAAAAUUUUUGACCAAUAAACGACCCAGGGACACCAUCCCUGAGCAAUGAACCAAGUUACCCUAGGGAUAACAGCGCAAUCCUUUCCCAGAGCCCAUAUCAACGAAAGGGUUUACGACCUCGAUGUUGGAUCAGGGCAUCCUAACGGUGCAGCCGC